UACGGAGGGUGCAAGCGUUAAUCGGAAUUACUGGGCGUAAAGCGCACGCAGGUGGCUGAGUCAGUCGAUUGUGAAAGCCCUGGGCUUAACCUGGGAAUUGCAGUCGAUACUACUCAGCUAGAGUAUGGGAGAGGGCAGUGGAAUUCCCGGUGUAGCGGUGAAAUGCGUAGAUAUCGUAAGGAAGACCAGUGGCGAAGGCGGGUCUCUGGACAGUUCCUGACGCUGAGGCACGAAGGUCAGGGGAGCAAACGGG
rnacentral:rRNA from 1 species